UGUCCCUGGAGCGCUCGGCGGCCCCUGGGGCCGGCCUAGCCCUGCUGUCGCCUGCGCCCCGCGGCAGCCCCUUGGGUCACUCGCCCCGUCGUUGAACCGAGUUAUGGACUGAUGGAGGGAAGGAAGAGGAAAAAGUGUAAUCAGUUGCAUGCUUUUGCAGAGGGACAGCUUCCUGUCGAAUGGUGCCCUUUUUAUUAUUUUCAAAAGGUGAUGAGAGGCAACAUUAAUAUGGAAAAAGGGAGGGAAGGAGCAAGAGCCCUGAAUUAGUAUCAGAGGAGGUAAUUGCAGUCGCUGUGACCUGGCUAGGGAUAAUAAGUGAAGUCCCCUGGUGGCUCAGCACCCAAAGCAGCCCCUUCCCCUCCAGCACCGGUGGAACUGAACGACUCUUUCCUGAACUCUCCAGGGGACGUUCCACCGUCUGCAAGCUCCGGCUCUGGACUGACUCUCCAGUGUUAAUGCUGCCCUCUGUGCUUGAGUCAGGCGUUUGCCGCACUCCUCAAGAUUUACUUCGCGGUCCUGGAGCAUGGAGUUUACUGCCUCGGAGCCACCGUCUUUUAGGUGCUCUCCAAAAACAGGAGUCAUGCCUCUGCCUUCUACCUGCUCCCCACGUGAUCCCAGCUCAACAGGCGGAAUUACUGAAGUCUACUCUCUGCAAGGCAGAACACAAAGAACAGCAGACACUUUCUGGGGGACGGCAAGGACAUCCAGAUGGAGCUGCCCAAGAGGGAGAUGGGAAUACAGACCUGGAACUUCAGAGAAUGUGAGCUCUGCAAGUUAAGGCUCAAGAAUAUCAGAGAAGUCUAAAAAUGUAUAAUAGUUGUGUGGUUCUCACACUUGAACAUGCAUCUUAAUCACCUAGAGGGCUUGUUAAAUACAGGGUGCCAGGCCCCACCCCCAGAAUUUCAGAUUCAGUAGGUCUGAAUUUUUUGUAUUUUUCUUUUCUGGGGGGAGGGUCUGCAUUUUUAACAAGACCCUAGAUGCUGUUGACGUUGCCCACUGGGAGACCAUGCUUUGAAAACCCCUGGCUUAGCUAACCCAGGAAGAACUUACAGAGAAGGAAAAGACUGGCAAACAUAGAGCAUCAGUGAGGAGCUAGAACGGGCAGCAGGGCGAGGGGCGUGGGGUCACAUAUGCAGAAGAACCUGAGUAAAGUGUGAUGGCAGAAGCCUCUGGAAGAGAAAAAAUUGUUGGCUCUGUCAAAUAUUAUAGAGAUAAAAUUAAAUUGGGAAAAUGACUCUACAUUUGUUAAUUAGCAAGUUUUUGGUAACCUUUAAGAAUACAGUCUCAUCAGAGUUGUGGAGGCGGAAGCCAAAUUUGCAGUAGGCGACCAGGAAAUUUAGCUAUGAAAGGAAAGAGGAAAUCAACCAAGACUGCUUGGUUGAUUUGCCGGUUCUCAUAAUCUGUAGGUUUAAGUCAAGGAACAGCAAGUGGAAAGGGUCAAGCAUACAAGAGAGGCAGGUCACGGUCAGUGAAACAAGAGCCCUGUCAAUACAAGCUGUCUCCCCUCCAAUAUCUUAUUUUGCCUUGUUUUAUGCAGGUAGCCAGUCUACUUCUCCUCCCACAUUGUCACCUCCUUAAGGAAUAGGGCUUUAUUGUCUGUCUCCUUUCCCAUCCUUCCCCAGUAGAGUAGGCACCAGUAAAUAUUCCCUUACCUAAAUAAGGGAGAGCUAUAGAUACAAGUUGAUGAAAACUUGGACCACCCACCCAACAAGAUAAAACAUAUUGGGUAGUGAUAAGAACUAUAAAUAAUAAAGAGAUAUAAAAUGAUGAAGGAAGUUUGUAUUUUUGUAGGAUGUUAAGGGGCAGUCUUGAUAAAAUUUAAGCAGAGGCUAAAAAGAGAAAGAGGACAAGAGCAAGCCAUGGGGAUCUAUGAAGGAAAAGCAUUCCAGACAGAGGAAACAUCAAGCACAAAAGCUCAGAGGCAAGAAUGUACCUGGCAUAUUAAAGGCACAGCAAGGAGGCUAGAAUAAUGGACCUGACUUUGGGGCUGGAAGUGGUACAAGAUUAGGUCACGAAGGUAGCCACAGGACAGAUAAAGUAGAGUUUUGUAGCCAGGGUAAUUGCCAGGAUAUAAAUGGUAUUCAAAGCUGGGAGGCUACAUAGCAUCUGGAGUAUAAAGGCACUUCAGUAUUUGGAGGUCAGAAAGACAGUGAGAUCCAGCAGACUGCAGAGGAGCUGAAGGAAACCAGAAAGUGUUCCAGAAGCUAACUGAAGUCAAACCCAAUGAUAAAGAAAUGUAACAUUCUCUCCUACCAAGUUAGCAAAGACUAAAUUAUAAUAAUAGUCAAUGCUGAUGAGAAUCUUAUGAGACAAGCAUUUUAAUUCAUUGGAGAUUAGAGUGCAAACUGGCACUUUUCAGGAAAUCAAUUCAUCAAAAUGAAUCAAGAAUUUGGAAAACACAUUUUUUAACCCUGUGUUGUGCUUGUGAGAAAACCUAUCUUUAAAGAUUAAUCUGUGCUCCCUUUAGCAGCACAUAUGCUAAAAUUGGAAUGAUACAGAGAUUAACAUGGCCCCUACACAAAGAUGACAUAUAAAUUCAUGAAAAAAUCCAUUAAAAAAGAUUAAUCUAAAAUACCAAAAAAUUUUAUGCACAUAGUAUUCUCAUUUUUUAGAAAAUUGCUAUGCUAGAUAUCAAAUGUUUUCAUUUCCUGAAUAUUUGCCUUAAGGAUUACAGUUCCCCCAAGCCAGUUCUAUUUGUCACUCUUCCUUUUCUCAGUGUCCAACUUCACCAGCCCUCCUGAAUUGAGGCAUCUUAUACCACCAUUUUCUCUCUGACAAGUAAAAUUAUAUUUUAUUUCACCUGGUCAUGGUAAAACAUGGAAUCAUAGACCCUAAGUGCAGAGGACCUCUACAAAUCAUGUGUUCCAAUCCCCUUUACUCAUGUAGGUGAUCAUUUUACAAAAGGUGAGGGUAACACAACUUGUUGGAGAAUGAACAAAGGAAAUGUUUGAGGUCAACUGAUCUUUCCACAUCACAUGGGAGAUUUAACAAUCCCAAUUACUCAUGAGCAAAAUGGUCACUAGCCCUUAAAAUUAAACACUACAGUUUUAUAGAGUCCAAGGGAAAAUAAGAUUGAACAUUUAGAAAAGUCUAUUCAUCUUUUUAAAAAAGAGCAGUUUUUCUCAUUAAUCCUUUCAUUAAUUGAAAAAGCAUUUAUUGAAUGCUUACCAUGUACCAGGCACCACUAGUGCAAAGUUUAAUAAGACAUAGUUCCUAACCUCAGGUGUAGUGGGGAAGACAGAAGUUUAAGAAAAUAUAAACACUGUCAAGAAGCAAAUACAGUUGGAGAAAAAAAAAAAACAGA